rnacentral:rRNA from 1 species
AGAGUUUGAUCCUGGCUCAGGACGAACGCUGGCGGCGUGCUUAACACAUGCAAGUCGAACGAUGAACCUUCCAUGAUCUAUUCGUAGAGAUUGGAAGCGGAUUAGUGGCGAACGGGUGAGUAACGCGUGAGCAACCUGCCUUAAACAACGGGAUAGCCUCGGGAAACCGGGAUUAAUACCGUAUGAGACCCCGCCUUCACAUGAAGAAGAGGUUAAAGAUUUAUCGGUUUAAGAUGGGCUCGCGUCUGAUUAGCUAGUUGGUGAGAUAAAAGCCCACCAAGGCAACGAUCAGUAACCGGCUUGAGAGAGUGAACGGUCACAUUGGAACUGAGACACGGUCCAAACUCCUACGGGAGGCAGCAGUGGGGAAUAUUGCACAAUGGGGGAAACCCUGAUGCAGCGACGCCGCGUGAGCGAUGAAGGAAUUCGUUUCGUAAAGCUCUGUCCUAGGGGAAGAUAAUGACAGUACCCUUGGAGGAAGCCCCGGCUAAAUACGUGCCAGCAGCCGCGGUAAUACGUAUGGGGCGAGCGUUGUCCGGAAUUAUUGGGCGUAAAGGGUACGUAGGCGGUUUCAUAAGUCAGAUGUAAAAGCGUGGGGCUCAACCCCAUAAAGCAUUUGAAACUGUGGAACUUGAGUAGUGGAGAGGAAAGUGGAAUUCCUAGUGUAGCGGUGAAAUGCGUAGAUAUUAGGAGGAAUACCAGUGGCGAAGGCGACUUUCUGGACACAAACUGACGCUGAGGUACGAAAGCAUGGGGAGCAAACAGGAUUAGAUACCCUGGUAGUCCAUGCCGUAAACGAUGAAUGCUAUGUGUCGGGGGUCAAACCUCGGUGCCGCAGUUAACACAGUAAGCAUUCCGCCUGGGGAGUACGGUGCAACACUGAAACUCAAGGAAUUGACGGGGACCCGCACAAGC